UACGGAGGAUGCGAGCGUUAUCCGGAUUUACUGGGUGUAAAGGGCGUGUAGGCGGGAUGGUAAGUCAGAUGUGAAAACUAUGGGCUCAACCCAUAGCCUGCAUUUGAAACUAUCGUUCUUGAGUGUUGGAGAGGCAGGCGGAAUUCCGUGUGUAGCGGUGAAAUGCGUAGAUAUCGCGCAGAACUCCGAUUGCGAAGGCAGCGUACCGGCGCCAGACUGACGCUGAGGCACGAAAGCGUGGGGAUCGAACAGG
rnacentral:rRNA from 1 species